rnacentral:lncRNA from 1 species
GCUGAGAUCUCCCGUUGAGCUAAGUUCUUUGGUAGUGAUCACUGUUUCUGCGUUGAGACUUGGUAAGUCUGUUUCUGCGUUGAGACUUGGUAAGUCCUUGCCUACUGCAUCGCUAAGACUGGAGUCAAUGCUGUGAUUAGUUUAUUCGGCAGACAGCGUAAUGUUGUAUAAUUUGGUUAUAUUAAAAUACUUGUACCUCGUCGUGAACUCUGUGAUUGCAGCGAGAUUGUUUCCGAAAUAAAACUUGGUGGCAGCGGUGGAGUGUAGGUACAUGUGAUCUGAUGAGAGGAUAAUUAUAGUGUCGUCACUAGUGGAAUCUAAGUUACAAAAGUAUGUUAUUAAGUUACCUCCUUUUUUUGUGGGUUUAGACUUGUGACCACCAUGACAGAGUUUGUGCUCUCCCCUGAAUUUAGAAGACCCUUAAACCUAGCAGCAGCUUCGUCCAGUAAGGACAACUACACUUCGACGUUUCUGUAGAUUAUUGUGAAGGGGAUACAGUAAGCAGAUGAAAUUUUUAAGCUAAUGUGUCUAAUUUUAGUACUUAAGGAGCACUGAGGAACCGGAUGAGAAUUGGUGAAAAUAUAUUUGUGCUCAGUAGGCCAAAACCUUUCACAGAUUUUAUUACACCUACAAC